rnacentral:rRNA from 1 species
UACGUAGGGACCAAGCGUUGUCCGGAAUCAUUGGGCGUAAAGCGCGCGUAGGCGGCCCGGUAAGUCCGUUCGUAAAAGUACGAAGGCUCAACCUUCGAAAGCCGAUGGAUACUGCCGGGCUAGAGUACGGAAGAGGCGAGUAGAAUUCCUGGUGUAGCGGUGGAAUGCGCAGAUAUCAGGAGGAAUACCCAUAGCGAAGGCAGCUCGCUGGGACGUUACUGACGCUGAGACGCGAAAGCGUGGGGAGCAAACAGG